GAUGAAGAACGUAGCAAAAUGCGAUAAGUAAUGUGAAUUGCAGAAUUCAGUGAAUCAUCGAAUCUUUGAACGCACAUUGCGCCCGCCAGUAUUCUGGCGGGCAUGCCUGUUCGAGCGUCAUUUCAACCCUCAAGCACAGCUUGGUGUUUGGACUCGCGUUAAUUCGCGUUCCCCAAAUUGAUUGGCGGUCACGUCGAGCUUCCAUAGCGUAGUAGUAAAACCCUCGUUACUGGUAAUCGUCGCGGCCACGCCGUUAAACCCCAACUUCUGAAUGUUGACCUCGGAUCAGGUAGGAAUACCCGCUGAACUUAAGCAUAUCAAUAAGCGGAGGGA
rnacentral:misc_RNA from 1 species